GCCGCCAUAGCUCAGCAGGUAGAGCACUUCCAUGGUAAGGAAGAGGUCGUCGGUUCAAACCCGAUUGGUGGCU
rnacentral:tRNA from 1 species